rnacentral:rRNA from 1 species
UCCAGACUCCUACGGGAGGCAGCAGUGAGGAAUAUUGGUCAAUGGACGAGAGUCUGAACCAGCCAAGUAGCGUGAAGGAUGACUGCCCUAUGGGUUGUAAACCUCUUUUGUCAGGGAGCAACGCCGGCUACGUGUAGCCGGACUGAGAGUACCUGAAGAAAAAGCAUCGGCUAACUCCGUGCCAGCAGCCGCGGUAAUACGGAGGAUGCGAGCGUUAUCCGGAUUUAUUGGGUUUAAAGGGUGCGCAGGCGGAGGUGCAAGUCAGCGGUCAAAUUGCGGGGCUCAACCCCGUACUGCCGUUGAAACUGCAUCCCUUGAGUGCGCGAGAAGUAUGCGGAAUGCGUGGUGUAGCGGUGAAAUGCAUAGAUAUCGCGCAGAACUCCGAUUGCGAAGGCAGCAUGCCGGCUCCACACUGACGCUGAGGCACGAAAGCGUGGGGAUCGAACAGGAUUAGAUACCCUGGUAUAU